rnacentral:sRNA from 1 species
UGCCAUGCAGAAAUAUGUAGCAAAUUGAGCACAACCAGUAAUAGAUUUCUUUGUUCUUUCUCUACUCCCACUGCUUCACUGGAAUAGCCUUAA